CGGGUGAGUAACACGUGAGGAACCUGCCUCAAAGAGGGGGACAACAGUUGGAAACGACUGCUAAUACCGCAUAAGCCCACGGCUCGGCAUCGAGCAGAGGGAAAAGGAGCAAUCCGCUUUGAGAUGGCCUCGCGUCCGAUUAGCUAGUUGGUGAGGUAACGGCCCACCAAGGCGACGAUCGGUAGCCGGACUGAGAGGUUGAACGGCCACAUUGGGACUGAGACACGGCCCAG
rnacentral:rRNA from 1 species